rnacentral:rRNA from 1 species
GUGGGGAAUAUUGGUCAAUGGGCGGGAGCCUGAACCAGCCAAGUCGCGUGAAGGAAGAAGGAUCUAUGGUUCGUAAACUUCUUUUGCAGGGGAAUAAAGUGCAGGACGUGUCCUGUUUUGUAUGUACCCUGAGAAUAAGGAUCGGCUAACUCCGUGCCAGCAGCCGCGGUAAUACGGAGGAUCCGAGCGUUAUCCGGAUUUAUUGGGUUUAAAGGGUGCGUAGGUGGUUUGAUAAGUCAGCGGUGAAAGUUUGCAGCUUAACUGUAAAAAUGCCGUUGAAACUGUCGGACUUGAGUGUAAAUGAGGUAGGCGGAAUGCGUGGUGUAGCGGUGAAAUGCAUAGAUAUCACGCAGAACUCCGAUUGCGAAGGCAGCUUACUAAGCUACAACUGACACUGAAGCACGAAAGCGUGGGGAUCAAACAGGAUUAGAUACCCCGGUAGUCC